rnacentral:lncRNA from 1 species
GGCACAAUAAGAUUCAAACACAAAACACGAAUACGAAGAAAAUGAGGAAGGCAACGACGGGAAUACUAACAUUAUUUUUGGUAUGUCUUCACCUUCAUGCAUCCUCAAAUCCUUCAAAAAUUGUCCAUGGUACUGGAACAUUGUUUAUCCCUUUCAUUUUUGUUCUUAUCUUGGUUACAAAGAUUCAAAAAACAUCUGAUAAGGUACAAUUUAUGUUAUGUAUCUUUAACAUUUGUCAGGAGGAGUGAACUAUGUUGAUAGACGUGGAGGAGGUGGCGGUCAUGGUGGUGGUGGUGGUGGUCAUGCCCAUGGUGGUGGUGGUGGUGGUGGUGGUGGUGAGGCUCAUAGUGUUGGUUCAAGAGGAGAAAGUGGAGGUGCAGGGCCUCUUGUUAUCCCUGUAUAUGCAGGGGGUACCCACCGGAGGACUGGAACCCACCAUGGUCGGAACAAUAGCAGUUGCGCUAUUCCCCAGUUGACUUCUACUAUAUUGGCCUUGUUCCUUUUAUUAUGUCUUUAGGAUCACUUCUUUACUAUGGCUGUGCAUUGUAGUUAAAAAAUCAAUAAAUAUUUUGAUUUAAGUUUUAGGGAUCUUCAUAUUUACUUUUUUUAAUUUAUAUAUAGAAAACACGCCCACACUGAUCACAUGAGUAACUUUAGGGAGAAGUCGUUCUUUUCUUUCUUGAAUAUGUAAAUGUGAGAGAACAAUAUUGUAAUAGACUAGUAGUUAAAUGAUACGUGUGUGGGAAUGAACAUCAUUACAUAAAUAUACAAUUUUUGUUUCACUGAGCAUUUGAUUAUUAAAGGCUUA